CUGAAACCCACUCCCACCCAUUUCAGUCAUUAAAGAUCUUAAGUAGUUUAGACACACGCCUUUGCUCAAGGAAAUUCACAGAAACCGCCACUGUUACACAUCUUAUCGAAUGACUCACUGAUUAAUCCUUUUCCUCAUCCCUUCCUCCCCUUCCCAUCUGCCCUAAGAACAAAGAGCUUGUAAACCAAUAAAUUGGGUGGAGCCCAGAGCUCUGGGCCGUGAGCAAGCCUCCAACGCUCUGGUCCCCUGGACCUGCCUUUUAAACGCUUGUUCUGUCUCUUUCUAACUCCUUUGUCUCCGCCGGACUCGGGGUAUCCGCUGGGUGGUGUGGGGCUGGUUUCCCCAACAGCUUUCUCUCCACCCAGCUUCAUAGAUGACACCCUGCCUGCUAGGCCAGAUGUUCUCCGGCCAAGAACACUAUUAUAGCUGCCUGGCUUCUCCCUGAGCAGCGUCAGGUGUGAGGAGUGCGCAUGGCAGCUGCCCAGUGACAGAUGGAAUCUCCCUCUCUCACCCAGGCUGGAGUGCAAUGGCACAAUCAGCUCACUGCAACCUCCACCUCCCGGGUUCAAGUGAUUCUUCUGCCUCAGCCUCCCGAGUAGCUGGGACUACAGGUGCGCGCCACCACGCCCAGCUAAUUUUUGUAUUCUUAGUAGAGAUGGGGUUUCACCAUAUUGGCCAGGCUGGUCUCGAACUCCUGACCUCAUGAUCUGCCCUCCUCGGCCUCGCAAAGUGCUGGGAUUACAGGCGUGAGCCACCACGCUCGGCCAACAGUCUUUCAAAGUAACUGACCUUGGGAAGGUCUUAUGGUGACAUUCUGUCCUUGAAUAAAGAAUCUUACUAUGAGUUCCUCAAAUUAUUGAUGCAAUGAUUGAUACAUAACCUACUGGCAUUGAAAAGGAUGCUGAUUUAUUGCUGAAUCAUGAAGUUUUACUGAUGGUCUUGCAUGUAGACAUUUUAACCUGUAUGUUGUAAUGUGUAUUCAAUGAUUGCAAUCUUUGUAUUGAACCCUCCAAUGAAAAAGGACAAGUUUGGUAUAAGGAGUCCCCCUCCCUGCUCCUAAACUUUUCUAUAAAAGCCUUCCAAUUUGUAACAGACUCCAGAACAUGUGUAACUUUGUUGGUGUGUUUUCCCAAGUCAGUCCUUACAUUUGGCUUCCAAUAAACCUUUAUCAAAUUAUUUCUGCUGGCUGGGCACAGUGGCCCAUGCCUGUAAUCCCAGCACUUUGGGAGGCUGGGGCAGGAAGAUUGCUUGAGCCCACCUUCAUUUCAGUCAACAACCACAUAACAGAUCAUCAAAAUACAUAAAGCAAAAACUGACAGAACUAAAGUUAAAUAUACAUAUCUACAAUUAUGUAGAGAAUAACAAACAAAAAAAUAGAACAAAAAUGUUCCACGCCUUGGUCAAUGGUACCACCAGCCAGCGAGGUUCCCAAGCCAAGAACUUCGGAAGCAUCCGUGAUUCUUCAUCUUCCACAUCCACUUUAUCACCGGAAGCACGCAUUCAACUUUCUAAACAUCCCUCAGACUGACCCACAUCUUUCUAUCCACUUUUCACAUCUUGCUUGAAUGACUUCCCCAGGCCCAGCCAGUCUCCCGCCUCCAGCUCCGCCCCCUUCUGACUCCCUUUAUGUGGUACAAUCAGAGAGCCCUUCCCAAAGCACAAAUCUGCUUUCACUGCUUUGCUUCAAGCCCUUUCGUGGCUCCUAUUUCCAGCUGGAUGAGGUCCAAGCCUCUUAACGUGCUGUACGUGUACAUGCCUGACCCCCGCUACUUGACCAGCCAAGUUUCUUCAUAGCGCUGUGUCUUUGUUCCUCCUGCCUAGAAUGUCCUUCCCCUUUUCUCUCGCUUCAUGGUGUGCCAAACUCCUAUCCUGUGAGAUCCAGCUUACACGUCAGCUUCCCCGUGAUGCUUUUCCUAACUCCCUAUUCAGCCAGUGAAGUGCUCCCUGCGUUCCCAUGUGGCUUGUAUCUCUGUAAAAGCUCCACAGAGCUGUUUUAAUUUAUCCGUUAAUGUACAUGUCUUCCCCACUAGACUUUUGCUCCUUAAAGUAUCUCCUUCAUCUCUGCUUUGCAUAACCUAACAGAGUUCAACACAUAGGAGUGUCUUAAUAAAUGCUGAAUAAAAUAAUUAAUAAACAAAUGAAACAAUACAGCAAACUGUUGAUUCUCCAAAAUGUUUUCUUGAAGAAAAUGUGUUCUUCCUUUCUGAGCCCAAUUCUAUGACUUCUCAUUUCAUCCAAGAUCUUGAUCCAUCAGGUACCAAGGUAGACUUUAGGUAUACAACACUGGACAUUAAAAACACUAUAAAGCUACAAUAAUUAAAAUAGAAUUCAACUUGACACAAAGUAGUCUGUGAAACAGUAGAGCUCCAAACCAGACCUAAAUAGUGACAAAAUUAGGUACAUAACAAUAGCCAACAUAUAUGUGGCAUUUAGUCAUGUUUCAGGCAUGCUUCAAAGUGCUCUAGAUACAUUAUUUCAUUCAAUUCUCACGACCAUCGUGUGAGUAGACACUAUUAAAACCAUUUUACAGAUAAGCAAACUGAGGCACAGAGGGGUUAAGAAAAACUUGCCCAAGAUCACCAAUCCAGCAGUUGUUGAAGUUAGGAUUUAAAACCAGGCAGGCUGGUUCCAGAAUUCAUGCAUUUAACCUUUCUCCUAUGACAUAGAUGGUAUCAUGCAUUAUUGACUAAAGAAAAGGUUAUUUGGUAAGCAACAGAAAAAGGAAAGGAAAUCACAGAUUCACUAUAUACUCUGUCCUGAAAUAAAAUUCAGAUGUUUUAGAGUUAAACAUUUAAAAAAAAGAAAAUAUGAGUAAGUAUUAACUUGAUAUUGGAAAAGAG
rnacentral:lncRNA from 10 species